rnacentral:rRNA from 1 species
UACGAACCGUGCGAACGUUGUUCGGAAUCACUGGGCUUAAAGGGCGCGUAGGCGGUCAAUCCAGUCGGGGGUGAAAUCUUGCAGCUUAACUGUAAAAGUGCCUUCGAUACUGAUUGACUCGAGGGAGGUAGGGGCAGGUGGAACUUCCAGUGGAGCGGUGAAAUGUGUUGAUAUUGGAAGGAACGCCGGUGGCGAAAGCGAUCUGCUGGAUCUCUUCUGACGCUGAGGCGCGAAAGCUAGGGGAGCAAACGGG